rnacentral:siRNA from 1 species
ACCGAUUGAAUGAUCCGGUGA